UAUUCGAUAAUACGAAACUAAAAAUCAUCACGGUUCCAAUUUUAAAGAACCAAACAUAUUACCAAUGUUCGGCUCAAAAUAUAAAACCGGCAUUGCUUGCAUGCUUUGUCGAAAGUUUUGUCUACCAGUUUUGUUCAAUACUCUCGCAACUGAAGAAGAAGCACGUCAAAGGAAGCAGUACCAGACAUUACUUGACGCAACUCGGAAAUUUUACUCACACAUUGACGACA